rnacentral:rRNA from 1 species
GGGUUGUGAGGUUAAGCGACUAAGCGUACACGGUGGAUGCCCUGGCAGUCAGAGGCGAUGAAGGACGUGCUAAUCUGCGAUAAGCGUCGGUGAGGUGAUAUGAACCGUUAUAACCGGCGAUUUCCGAAUGGGGAAACCCAGUGUGUUUCGACACACUAUCAUUAACUGAAUCCAUAGGUUAAUGAGGCGAACCGGGGGAACUGAAACAUCUAAGUACCCCGAGGAAAAGAAAUCAACCGAGAUUCCCCCAGUAGCGGCGAGCGAACGGGGAGGAGCCCAGAGCCUGAAUCAGUGUGUGUGUUAGUGGAAGCGUCUGGAAAGGCGCGCGAUACAGGGUGACAGCCCCGUACACAAAAAUGCACAUAUUGUGAGCUCGAUGAGUAGGGCGGGACACGUGGUAUCCUGUCUGAAUAUGGGGGGACCAUCCUCCAAGGCUAAAUACUCCUGACUGACCGAUAGUGAACCAGUACCGUGAGGGAAAGGCGAAAAGAACCCCGGCGAGGGGAGUGAAAAAGAACCUGAAACCGUGUACGUACAAGCAGUGGGAGCCUCUUAAUUGGGUGACUGCGUACCUUUUGUAUAAUGGGUCAGCGACUUAUAUUCUGUAGCAAGGUUAACCGAAUAGGGGAGCCGAAGGGAAACCGAGUCUUAACUGGGCGUUAAGUUGCAGGGUAUAGACCCGAAACCCGGUGAUCUAGCCAUGGGCAGGUUGAAGGUUGGGUAACACUAACUGGAGGACCGAACCGACUAAUGUUGAAAAAUUAGCGGAUGACUUGUGGCUGGGGGUGAAAGGCCAAUCAAACCGGGAGAUAGCUGGUUCUCCCCGAAAGCUAUUUAGGUAGCGCCUCGUGAAUUCAUCUCCGGGGGUAGAGCACUGUUUCGGCAAGGGGGUCAUCCCGACUUACCAACCCGAUGCAAACUGCGAAUACCGGAGAAUGUUAUCACGGGAGACACACGGCGGGUGCUAACGUCCGUCGUGAAGAGGGAAACAACCCAGACCGCCAGCUAAGGUCCCAAAGUCAUGGUUAAGUGGGAAACGAUGUGGGAAGGCCCAGACAGCCAGGAUGUUGGCUUAGAAGCAGCCAUCAUUUAAAGAAAGCGUAAUAGCUCACUGGUCGAGUCGGCCUGCGCGGAAGAUGUAACGGGGCUAAACCAUGCACCGAAGCUGCGGCAGCGACACUAUGUGUUGUUGGGUAGGGGAGCGUUCUGUAAGCCUGUGAAGGUGUACUGUGAGGUAUGCUGGAGGUAUCAGAAGUGCGAAUGCUGACAUAAGUAACGAUAAAGCGGGUGAAAAGCCCGCUCGCCGGAAGACCAAGGGUUCCUGUCCAACGUUAAUCGGGGCAGGGUGAGUCGACCCCUAAGGCGAGGCCGAAAGGCGUAGUCGAUGGGAAACAGGUUAAUAUUCCUGUACUUGGUGUUACUGCGAAGGGGGGACGGAGAAGGCUAUGUUGGCCGGGCGACGGUUGUCCCGGUUUAAGCGUGUAGGCUGGUUUUCCAGGCAAAUCCGGAAAAUCAAGGCUGAGGCGUGAUGACGAGGCACUACGGUGCUGAAGCGACAAAUGCCCUGCUUCCAGGAAAAGCCUCUAAGCAUCAGGUAACAUCAAAUCGUACCCCAAACCGACACAGGUGGUCAGGUAGAGAAUACCAAGGCGCUUGAGAGAACUCGGGUGAAGGAACUAGGCAAAAUGGUGCCGUAACUUCGGGAGAAGGCACGCUGAUAUGUAGGUGAAGCGACUUGCUCGUGGAGCUGAAAUCAGUCGAAGAUACCAGCUGGCUGCAACUGUUUAUUAAAAACACAGCACUGUGCAAACACGAAAGUGGACGUAUACGGUGUGACGCCUGCCCGGUGCCGGAAGGUUAAUUGAUGGGGUUAGCGGUAACGCGAAGCUCUUGAUCGAAGCCCCGGUAAACGGCGGCCGUAACUAUAACGGUCCUAAGGUAGCGAAAUUCCUUGUCGGGUAAGUUCCGACCUGCACGAAUGGCGUAAUGAUGGCCAGGCUGUCUCCACCCGAGACUCAGUGAAAUUGAACUCGCUGUGAAGAUGCAGUGUACCCGCGGCAAGACGGAAAGACCCCGUGAACCUUUACUAUAGCUUGACACUGAACAUUGAGCCUUGAUGUGUAGGAUAGGUGGGAGGCUUUGAAGUGUGGACGCCAGUCUGCAUGGAGCCGACCUUGAAAUACCACCCUUUAAUGUUUGAUGUUCUAACGUGGGCCCCUUACCGGGGUUGCGGACAGUGUCUGGUGGGUAGUUUGACUGGGGCGGUCUCCUCCUAAAGAGUAACGGAGGAGCACGAAGGUUGGCUAAUCCUGGUCGGACAUCAGGAGGUUAGUGCAAUGGCAUAAGCCAGCUUGACUGCGAGCGUGACGGCGCGAGCAGGUGCGAAAGCAGGUCAUAGUGAUCCGGUGGUUCUGAAUGGAAGGGCCAUCGCUCAACGGAUAAAAGGUACUCCGGGGAUAACAGGCUGAUACCGCCCAAGAGUUCAUAUCGACGGCGGUGUUUGGCACCUCGAUGUCGGCUCAUCACAUCCUGGGGCUGAAGUAGGUCCCAAGGGUAUGGCUGUUCGCCAUUUAAAGUGGUACGCGAGCUGGGUUUAGAACGUCGUGAGACAGUUCGGUCCCUAUCUGCCGUGGGCGCUGGAGAACUGAGGGGGGCUGCUCCUAGUACGAGAGGACCGGAGUGGACGCAUCACUGGUGUUCGGGUUGUCAUGCCAAUGGCACUGCCCGGUAGCUAAAUGCGGAAGAGAUAAGUGCUGAAAGCAUCUAAGCACGAAACUUGCCCCGAGAUGAGUUCUCCCUGACUCCUUGAGAGUCCUGAAGGAACGUUGAAGACGACGACGUUGAUAGGCCGGGUGUGUAAGCGCAGCGAUGCGUUGAGCUAACCGGUACUAAUGAACCGUGAGGCUUAACCUUACAACGCCGAAG